CCGUAGCUCAGUCGGAUAGAGCGACGGAUUCCUAAUCCGUAGGUCGGGGGUUCGAAUCCCUCCGG
rnacentral:tRNA from 1 species